GACGUAGGGCGCGAGCGUUGUCCGGAUUUAUUGGGCGUAAAGAGCUCGUAGGCGGCUUGUCGCGUCGACUGUGAAAACCCGUGGCUCAACCAUGUGGUCUGCAUUCGAUACGGGCAGGCUAGAGUUCGGUAGGGGAGAUCGGAAUUCCUGGUGUAGCGGUGAAAUGCGCAGAUAUCAGGAGGAACACCGGUGGCGAAGGCGGAUCUCUGGGCCGAUACUGACGCUGAGGAGCGAAAGCGUGGGGAGCGAACAGG
rnacentral:rRNA from 1 species